AAUGAUGAGCCUGAUUAAAGGACUAUCGUGAUAGGAUAAAACAUGUAGUAAAGCUACCUUCAUUA
rnacentral:tRNA from 1 species